CCAUCACCGCCUGUACGAACGGAGUCCCAGGCGAAAAUGUGCUUGAAAGUGAAAGCAGUUGUGUCGACAGUGCGUUUUGAAUGCUCAGACGGACGGGAUCGUUUUUUCCAUUGCAUCUAAGUUGACCUUAGCGGUGGUUGGACGGACAGGUUGUCCUCUGCGAAGCGGUUGAUACAUAUCGCUGCAUAUACUGUAGGUGAUACAUUGUUGGUCGGGUUUUUAGGGCUGGCUGAAUACUGGCAGGAAAACAUUUCAAGAAGACUAUCUAAGCUGAACAGUGCAAGGGGGAAAUAAUAUCGAGCUCGUAUUUUCUAAAUAUCUGCUGUGGAUUUGCAUGGAUAUACAUAUAUGCAUGCAUUAAUGACUGUAAUAGAUAUACAGGAAUACCCAGGCCUUAUAUGGGUCGAAGAAUCAUCGUGAUGGUCACAGUUGCGCCCAAAAUUGAAAGUGUGAUAUCGCCUCGAAAAUAUAUAUCUUGGCUCGAGAGCUGUAAAAUAUAAAUGCAUAUAGAGGAGCAAGGAGCAAGCCUCACAAUAACGUUAUUUGGUGUUGUAUUACCUAUACAUCCAGCAGCCUUCCUGCACCCACUUGAAGAAGUAGCCUAACAUCAAGAUGAUUGAAAAAUGUAAAACACACCCCCUCAGCUCCAUAUACAUACCAUGACAGCUCGAUGUGAAAUGAUUGAAGAACGCCCUAAAGGGAGGACCGCUGUAUCAGGCUAGAAGGAGGCAGCGAUAGAAUAUAAUAUGGCAAAUGAGAAAACAUUGCACUAAGAAUCAGCCUUCUUUCCCAAGUUUCCCUAACGCCUCUGUCAAGAACUCCGUCGCAUUGACUAGAUCCGUGCUCCCAUAUACAAUUCGUCGUGACGUGGCGCC
rnacentral:sRNA from 1 species